rnacentral:rRNA from 1 species
AUUGAACGCUGGCGGCAUGCCUUACACAUGCAAGUCGUACGGCAGCGGGGACUUCGGUCCGCCGGCGAGUGGCGAACGGGUGAGUAACGUAUCGGAACGUACCUUUCAGUGGGGGAUAACGUAGCGAAAGUUACGCUAAUACCGCAUAUUCUGUGAGCAGGAAAGCAGGGGAUCGCAAGACCUUGCGCUGAUUGAGCGGCCGAUAUCAGAUUAGCUAGUUGGUGAGGUAAAGGCUCACCAAGGCGACGAUCUGUAGCGGGUCUGAGAGGAUGAUCCGCCACACUGGAACUGAGACACGGUCCAGACUCCUACGGGAGGCAGCAGUGGGGAAUUUUGGACAAUGGGGGCAACCCUGAUCCAGCCAUGCCGCGUGAGUGAAGAAGGCC